rnacentral:rRNA from 1 species
CCCUUAGAUGUCCUGGGCUGCACGCGCGCUACACUGAUGUGUCCAGUAAGCACCUAACCUCUUCCGAAAGGAACGGGUAACCUUUGCAAAGCACAUCGUGAUGGGGAUAGAUUAUUGCAAUUAUUAGUCUUGAACGAGGAAUUCCUAGUAAGCACAAGUCAUCAGCUUGUGUUGAUUACGUCCCCGCCCUUUGUACACACCGCCCGUCGCUCCUACCGAUUGAAUGUUCCGGUGAGCUCUUCGGACUGCGCGGUCUGCAGUUUCUGCGUUCCGUGCGGAAAGUUGCGCAAACCCUAACAUUUAGAGGAAGGAGAAGUCGUAACA